rnacentral:lncRNA from 1 species
GGGGAAGGGAAGGUAGUAGUAAACUUUGAGUAAGGAAACGAUAUUUUUGUUUCAGAAUCCAUGUGUUCUUCCUACUCUAAAUACUGAUUUAGAAGAAAAAAAAAUCUGGUGACGCCUUACGACAUUCUUUUUUUCCCCUUAGAAUCUAAAGGUAUCCUUCAGGGAUCCAGCUAUUUCUAAACAUUCUAUAACAGAGUCCAAUACUACAGGCUGCAGUUUAUGACAUGUACUAACAAAGGUAGUCUUUUACAAAAGAUAGUAAAGAACUAUUUUUUCAGUUACUUUUGUAAAGGCAUAAAGUAAAUGACGGUGGUAUCUGUGCAUAAACAAAGUAAAGUUCAGAUUGCACCUUAUAACUACAAUGUUACCAAUAGACUUCAUCCCCUCUGCUAUUCUAUAUAUCUGGAUUCAUCCCCUCUGCUAUUCUAUAUAUCUGGAUCCCCUCUGCUAUUCUAUAUAUCUGAAUGUUACUAAUAGACUUCAUCCCCUCUGCUAUUCUAUAUAUCUGAGGACUUAAACAAUCUCUGGCACACAAAACAGGGUAAGGGAUGAAUGUGUCUUUCAUGUUGCAAUACCAAAGAGAAUAUGGGAGAACAAUCUAUUUCUACAGGUGCCAGUCACAAUAAACACCCAAUAUUCAAAAUUCUGAAGAUAUGACAAAUUUAGGACCUGAAUAUGUGUUUUACAAAAUGGCUUUCCACAGGCUUCCAUUGAGGAGAUAGCAAAUCCAAGUAUCUCAAAAAUUGUGGUUUAAUGUUUUAUUUUCAUAAAACUUUUAAAGAAAGAUGGCUGUCACAUAAGAAAUGUCAGUAUUUUCAGAACAAUCAGUGCUCCAGUGGCAGAACAGCAUUACAAAUUACAACAUUACAAUAGACACCCCUCAUAUUUAUGCAAGGCACAAGAUCAGUUAAACCAGUGGGUAGGAGGUGCCUACAGGUGACUGUGAGGGCAGAUGCUUUCUAAGUGGAGGAAGGCUGAAAAUAAAGUCACACCUACAGUGCUAUGCUUUCAUCUUUCUUCUUGCCCUCUCAGUCACCCUGCAUCACUCACUGGCGUGCUUUAACUGUCUUGUGGCAUUCCUUCUUAAAACACUUUCAGAGGAGUAAACUUCAGGUCUUAGGAGAAUAGAUUCAGUCCUACGUCACUCACUGUCUGAAGGCAUUUAGUCCUUUUAUGAUGCUACUAAAAUCAAAAGUGGCAUGAAUACAUCCUACAAUCUAAGACUGGAAGUCAUAUUGUAAGGUGCCUUAAUGUUCUCCAGCCCUACAGGUUGAAUAAAGCAAACAAGUGUACAUUAAUAUGGGCCUGUCUCUACCUAACACUUCAGGAUUUUGAAGAUUGUCAAAGUUCAUAAAGCAUUCUCUUUUUUUCUUAGGACCCACUAGGCUAAGUCCUACCUUAGGGCCUGAGGACAUUUUUUACCUAUGCCUGGAAUGGUCUUUCUCUAGAAUUUGGCAUGUUCAUUCUUUCUUUAUUCUGGUUUCUACUCAAAUACCACAUUUUUAGAAAAACCUACACUGACCAUCAUAUCUAAAAUAGUUUCCCACCUUUACCCUACUCUACCCUGCUUUGGUUUUUUUCAUAGCACUUAUUCUUUCCUGAAAUUAUACAUUUAUUUGCUUAUUAUCUAUCUUUCCCAUUAAAAUAUGAGCUUUUAAGUAAAAUAGGGCUAAGAGACUUUCUCUUAAAUUUUACAAUUAAACUCCAUCUCCCAAGAAGCUCCCGCUGUGGCUCAGUGGAAACGAAUCUGACUAGCAUCCAUGAGGAUGCAGGUUUGAUCCCUGGCCUCGCUCAGUGGGUGAGGAUCUGACGUUGCCCUGAGCUGAGGUGUAGGUCACAGAUGUGGCUCUGAUUUGGCGUUGCUGUGGCUGUGGUGUAGGCCAGCAGCUACAGCUCUGAUUCCACUCCUAGCCUGGAAACAUCCAUAUGCCACAGGUGUGGCCCUAAAAGGAAAAAGAAAAAAGAAAAAAAAAAGGAAAAAAAAAUAAACUCCAUCUCCUGAUAAGAAAAGGUAUUAUAUACAAUGACCCCUCAUACAAUGAAUGAAGUCAAUAAGGAACAGUUACUAUUCUAGGAAGAGUGUGUUCAGACCUGGUUUGAAAUCACAGCUUGUUGCUGCCAUUUUAGUUAGAGCACCGAAUGGAUGGCAUUAACCAAAGACCUGACAAGACACAAGCACACAUGCUAAAGAAAAGCAAACAAAAAACCCCCAAACCCUUCCUUACUCUUGGAAUUGGAGUGCAUUAUUACUUUACUCCAAGCCAACAACAGCUAAAAACAAGAGGUAUAAAUCUGGAGACCUUCAAAAGCCGUUUCACCAGAGCUGCCACCUGUCACUCAUGUAAGAAGAGGCAAUCAUCCAUCUAUCCAGAUUAGUAUAUCAGAAGGUCCUAAGUGCCAUUUAUUUACUCGAAACUAGUGAUUCCUUAGAAAUGUUCUAUAUCACAUAAUAAUGAAAUGACAUGAUCUUUGUUUUUCCUUUAGAUAAACAUACUUUAAGAUGGCAUACAACUUUUAAAAUAUAAACACCAAUUAAAUGAGGUAUUUUUUGUUAGAGAAAAAAGUCUAUCAUAAUUAUAGUGGCAAUAAUAGUUCUGUACAUUUCUCUUAGCAAUUUUAACCUCAGAUUUAUAAGCACUAUGCAAACAUUAAUUUACUAAGUUCUGCU